rnacentral:tRNA from 1 species
AUUUAUAUAAUAUAAAAAUUAUAUUUAAUUUCCAAUUAAAAAAUCUAUAUAAAAAUAGUAUAAAUA